GGCAGCCACAAAGUCUCCUCAUAAAUAUUUAACAACUGACACCAAACUGGAGCCUAAUGUGAGAUGACCAUUCACGCCAGUUGCUCCGGUCUGUUGAGGACGGUGUGGUAUGUGGCUAGUGCACUGCAGCUGUUGAUAAAUACAGGCUUGACAGAGUUCAGGUCACAACAAGGCUCUCACUGAGGCAUGCUGUGUACUGUGUCAUCAUACUACACGUGGAUGCGAUGUUUUCCAGUCCCACGCAGUCUUCAGUGUCUAUUUGCGCAUGCUCUCGAUGCAAACCACAGUCUGCAACAAGUUCUGGUGAAGAUCUGCAUUCUCCUCCUGCAGCGCCCUGAACACAUAGGAAUGAUGGGAGUUGAGCUUUGAAAAUAUAUUUAUAUUAGAGAUUAGGCU